AAGUCGUAACAAGGUUUCCGUAGGUGAACCUGCGGAAGGAUCAUUAACACGUAUCCAACGUUAAAACAACCCCCGUGAACUUUCAGCUUGCCUGUAGCCCGUGAAAACAGCAAUCCCUGGUAAAUCAUUGUUGACCAGCUUUUGAGUCAGGGACCUCUGCCGAUUGUGAUAUUUUAUAGCUACGGCAUCCCCAAGUAAUCAGUGUCUGAAAGUGUCAUUGAUUAUGUAAGGAUGGGGCAGUCACGAUCGCUGUAGGCCCACACGGCCGGCGACCGGGUCACCGGGCUCUGCCCCUUUACGACAACACAGUACGAAUUGGCCGCGCGUGAAAUUCGCACGGCACCAAAAACCGAACAACUGUUAACAAUGGAUAUCUUGGUUCUC
rnacentral:misc_RNA from 1 species